GCCGAGGUGGCGGAAUUGGUAGACGCGCUAGCUUCAGGUGCUAGUGGGGGCAACCCCGUGGAGGUUCAAGUCCUCUCCCUCGGUACCA
rnacentral:tRNA from 1 species